rnacentral:rRNA from 1 species
UACGGAGGGCGCAAGCGUUAUCCGGAUUCACUGGGCUUAAAGGGUGCGUAGGCGGCCAGGUAAGUCAGUGGUGAAAUCUCCGGGCUUAACCCGGAAACUGCCAUUGAUACUAUCUGUCUUGAAUACCGUGGAGGUGAGCGGAAUAUGUCAUGUAGCGGUGAAAUGCUUAGAUAUGACAUAGAACACCAAUUGCGAAGGCAGCUCACUACACGAAUAUUGACACUGAGGCACGAAAGCGUGGGGAUCAAACAGG